ACUCUGUGUAUUUGUCACUGUGUCGAUGGAAACAGGUUGUAAUUAAUCGAUUAUUGACGGACUUCUUUUAAUGAAACGACCUGAGCUCUGAUUGGCUGCACAGACACCCGGCUGCCCAGCCACUGUUACCACGGUAACUACAGCCAAAACGACCAGGACUGAAAUAUAUCUUUAAACCUGAGGUGAUCUGCCACAGACCAACUUUCCUCUCUGUGGAAGAUGCAGCUGACCACGGCAGCACUGCUGAUGCAAGAGGAUCCUCCGCCCAUUAAGCACUGUUGCCUCCUGCAUCUUUCAAAGAAACCCCCCUCGGAUCCAAGACCACUUUGAAGUACCCUUUAUCGAUCUGCUGCUGUGAAGUGAGGGCGCCUGAAGGUGGAGUGGGUGGAGACAGGAGAGAGUGUGAGAGAGACUAUGACAGAUCAGAAGACAUGCAGACCUCCACCUGACCUCGUCGCCUCCAUCUGUGCUCCUGAGCUCAGCUGAACAGUCGAGCACCUCAACACGGGAACCUGCUGAAGUGCCUUUGAGCUACUUCUUUGAGUCUGACCACAGGACGAAGGUGAUGCUAAUCAUCCCUCCUCACAGACUGCAGCUGCGCUCUGAUUCGUUCAGCCUUCUCUCCAGAAAUCCUCCUCCAGCAGAGGGACGAGCCGGGUCACUGCAGGUGAGUCUGACAGCACCGGAGAUCCGGUCUCAACGGUUCUGUGUGUGUGUCUGUCAGAAUGGAUCUGGACACUCUGUCAGUAAAGCUGGUGAUUGAUGAAUCGGUUGUGAAAUUUGUUUAAAAAAGAUCUCAAGGUGAUUUUUAGGAGAAAUAAUGAAAUAUUUUCCAAACAGCCAUCAAUCAUCAUGUGAUGCUGUAAACAAUCACAGUCGCGUCCUCGACUCAGACAAUCCUGACGUUUGUCUCACGGAAACGACACGAGACGCUCCUCGUUUCCACCAGCCGGCCAAAGUGUUUUCAUUAAAGGAUCUUUACUGUCAUGUGCAGUUAAUGUGAAGCAGCUGUUUGUGAUUCUCACGUCGUCCGACAGGGAUUCUACAGAUAUGUGAAAAAUAAAAAUCACUGAAACACAAUACAGACGUGACAGUGUGCCGAAGUUCAAAUACAGGAAUACAUAAAUGAAUGAAAGCUGGAAGUCUUUGAGGUCGGAUUGG